rnacentral:rRNA from 1 species
CUACGUAGGGUGCAAGCGUUAAUCGGAAUUACUGGGCGUAAAGCGUGCGCAGGCGGUUAUGUAAGACAGAGGUGAAAUCCCCGGGCUCCACCUGGGAACUGCCUUUGUGACUGCAUAGCUAGAGUACGGUAGAGGGGGAUGGAAUUCCGCGUGUAGCAGUGAAAUGCGUAGAUAUGCGGAGGAACACCGAUGGCGAAGGCAAUCCCCUGGACCUGUACUGACGCUCAUGCACGAAAGCGUGGGGAGCAAACAGGAUUAGAUACCCUGGUAGUCCACGCCCUAAACGAUGUCAACUGGUUGUUGGGUCUUCACUGACUCAGUAACGAAGCUAACGCGUGAAGUUGACCGCCUGGGGAGUACGGCCGCAAGGUUGAAACUCAAAUGAAUUGACGGG